rnacentral:misc_RNA from 1 species
GCCUGUUCAUUGGAUGAUCGAAUCUCGCGUUCCGUCAUCUCCCCUUCGGUUCCCUGUGUUGCAUACCUUCGAGACGGUAUCCUGUCGGCUAGAAUCGCCCCGUUUCGCCCGACGUCGCGAGCAACAUCGCGACCGAGGGCGAACCGAAAAGCACUCAUCGCGUUCCACCCCGUUCGCGUGACGCGCUGCGGGACACGGCCCGCGAUGACGUGCUCGAAUUCUCGGAUGCGGAACACAAUGCGGGCACGAGGACGUCGAUCCUCCGUUUGCCCCCGAACAAGCGUUCUACGCUCUGUGCGAACGACGUUCUUCCUCGU